rnacentral:rRNA from 1 species
UGGGGAAUUUUGGACAAUGGGCGCAAGCCUGAUCCAGCCAUGCCGCGUGCGGGAAGAAGGCCUUCGGGUUGUAAACCGCUUUUGUCAGGGAAGAAAUCUUCUGAGUUAAUACCUCGGGAGGAUGACGGUACCUGAAGAAUAAGCACCGGCUAACUACGUGCCAGCAGCCGCGGUAAUACGUAGGGUGCAAGCGUUAAUCGGAAUUACUGGGCGUAAAGCGUGCGCAGGCGGUUUUGUAAGACAGAGGUGAAAUCCCCGGGCUCAACCUGGGAACUGCCUUUGUGACUGCAAGGCUUGAGUGCGGCAGAGGGGGGAUGGAAUUCCGCGUGUAGCAGUGAAAUGCGUAGAUAUGCGGAGGAACACCGAUGGCGAAGGCAAUCCCCUGGGCCUGCACUGACGCUCAUGCACGAAAGCGUGGGGAGCAAACAGGAUUAGAUAGCCCUGGUAGUCCACGCCCUAAACGAUGUCGACUGGUUGUUGGGAAGGUUCCUUCUCAGUAACGUAGCUAACGCGUGAAGUUGACCGCCU